rnacentral:rRNA from 1 species
CUGGGGUACACGAGUGGCGAACGGGUGAGUAACACGUGGGUGACCUGCCCUGCACUUCGGGAUAAGCCUGGGAAACUGGGUCUAAUACCGGAUAGGACCGCACCGUGAGGGUGUGGUGGAAAGUUUUUUCGGUGUGGGAUGGGCCCGCGGCCUAUCAGCUUGUUGGUGGGGUAAUGGCCUACCAAGGCGGCGACGGGUAGCCGGCCUGAGAGGGUGGACGGCCACAUUGGGACUGAGACACGGCCCAGACUCCUACGGGAGGCAGCAGUGGGGAAUAUUGCACAAUGGGCGGAAGCCUGAUGCAGCGACGCCGCGUGGGGGAUGACGGCCUUCGGGUUGUAAACUCCUUUCACCAUCGACGAAGGGUUUCUGACGGUAGAUGGAGAAGAAGCACCGGCUAACUACGUGCCAGCAGCCGCGGUAAUACGUAGGGUGCGAGCGUUGUCCGGAAUUACUGGGCGUAAAGAGCUCGUAGGUGGUUUGUCGCGUCGUCUGUGAAAUUCCGGGGCUUAACUCCGGGCGUGCAGGCGAUACGGGCAUAACUUGAGUACUGUAGGGGAGACUGGAAUUCCUGGUGUAGCGGUGAAAUGCGCAGAUAUCAGGAGGAACACCGGUGGCGAAGGCGGGUCUCUGGGCAGUAACUGACGCUGAGGAGCGAAAGCAUGGGGAGCGAACAGGAUUAGAUACCCUGGUAGUCCAUGCCGUAAACGGUGGGCGCUAGGUGUGGGUUUCCUUCCACGGGAUCCGUGCCGUAGCUAACGCAUUAAGCGCCCCGCCUGGGGAGUACGGCCGCAAGGCUA